GGCCUUUUAGCUCAGUGGUUAGAGCAGUCGGCUCAUAACCGAUUGGUCGCUGGUUCAAACCCAGCAAGGGCCACCA
rnacentral:tRNA from 1 species